AUAAAAAGAGGCAGCAUAAGUGGACUUCGGUCCACGUACAGAAUUGAAGACGCAAAGCAUCAUUGUCCCCUUUCAUUAAAGCAAUCAGUUUUCUGAAAGAGCAUUGGCCGGUAAGAAAUCUACUUUAAUGAUAUCAUACAGGUUUGGCGUAAGGUCCUAUCGACCAUUAUUCAUUAAGCACAUUCUCUGGCUCCUGAGAAUUAUCAAACUCAUAAGCUUUUCCUUUAUUCCUUUUCAGCCGUGUCAUUCUCUAUCUGCCGAUCUAUCUGCCGUUUGGUUGGUGAGAGAGAGUCGUUUCAAACCCAGUAAAAUGGCGCCGUUCGCAUGACAUUUUGAACUUGCUUUCCUGUUUGCAAAUGCCAAAAGUAAUUAAUUUCCAUAUUUUGUAGUCCAACCAACGGAUUAAGAAUUUGAGAAUGAUUCUUUAAAUUUUUUUUUAAUAUUUUUAAUACUUAAUUUUUUUUAUUUAAAUAUUAAAAAUAUUAAAAAUCCUUUUAGAAUUACUCACAAAUACAUUCUAAGAGUGUGUUUAACAUUGAUCCGCGAGCUCUUACGACUUUUAUCUUGAAAAAUGUUUUUGAAAAAUAAUCACAAAAUUAUUUAUGUUUUAAAAAAAAAAUACUUGACAUAUGAUUAUUUUAAAACCACUUUAAAAGAAAACACUUUUAUUUAAAAUAUUUCAAGUAACUCAUUUUAGAGAUGGAAACUAUUUUUUUAAAAUAGUCUUUGUUUUUAAUAAUAAAAUAACCAUUUUUUACACACAAAAAAAAAUAUAUAUAUGUUUGAUAGAAAUCCUUGGGCUUUUAUCUAGAAAAAUGUUUUUGGAAAAUAAUCACAAAAUUAUUUAUGUUUUUUUUAGAGAAAUACUUGAUUUAUGAUUCUUUUAAAAACACUUUAAAAAAAAAAACGUUUUUGCUAAAAAUAUUUCAAGUAACUUAUUUUAAAGAUUGGGAACUGUUUUUUUUUAAAUAGUGUUUUCUUUAAUAAUAAAAUAACCAUUUUUUACACAAAAAAAAUAUGUUUGAUAGAAAAUACUGUUUUAAGAAAUACCUUCGUUGUUAUAUUAUUUUCACUUUUUCUUGGCUAUUUAAAAAUUUAAUUCUACGUAUAUAAAUAAUGAUUGAAAAUAAAAUACCAUAAAAGCUAUUUUUAAAAAAUAUUAUCAAAUAUAGAAAACGAAAUUAAAAUAAACUUUUAUCCCGAGUUUAAAAAUUAGUUUUGAAAACGUUCCCAAACAAGUCUUAAAAGUUAUUUUUUACAGAGUGAUUUAAAAAUCAUUUUCAGUUUUUAAAAAUAAUAAAAUUAUUUUUAAAAAUUUAUAGACUUGUUUGGCAAAUAUUUUCUAGAAACCGCUUUUAAAAACAAAAUGGAAUGAAGAAUAAUUUUUCGAAAACAAAAAAAAUAUUCUUUACAAUAAUUCUAUUGAAAGCCAUAGAUUAUGAGAUAAAAAGAGGCAGCAUAAGUGGACUUUGGUCCACGUACAGAAUUGAAGACGCAAAGCAUCAUUGUCCCCUUUCAUUAAAGCAAUCAGUUUUCUGAAAGAGGAUUGGCCUGUAAGAAAUCUACUUUAAUGAUCUCAUACAGGUUUGGCGUAAGGUCCUAUCGAUCAUUAAGCACAUUCUCUGGCUCCUGAGAAUCAUCAAACUCAUAAACUUUUCCUUUAUUCCUUUCCAGCCGUGUCAUUCUCUAUCAACCCACUAAGCUAAGCAUUUCUAUGAGAACUUGUUAUGUA
rnacentral:lncRNA from 1 species